rnacentral:ncRNA from 2 species
UACAUCCUUGCUUUGUUUCUUCGUAUAUCCCCGAUAAUGCGGUUCGGGAGUCUCUACCGGGUAACCGUAAAUUACCUGACUACGAAGGGUUUUUACCCUUUA